rnacentral:rRNA from 1 species
GAUGAACGCUGGCGGCGUGCCUAAUACAUGCAAGUCGAACGGAAGGUAGCAAUACCUUUAGUGGCGAACGGGUGAGUAACGCGUUUGGUGACCUGCCCCGAAGCGUGGGAUAACAGUCCGAAAGGAUUGCUAAUACCGCAUGUGGUCCAAGAGACUAGAGGCUUAUGGACUAAAGGAGACAUUCACUUCGGGAGGGGCCUGCGUCCCAUCAGCUAGUUGGUAGGGUAACGGCCUACCAAGGCGAUGACGGGUAGGGGACCUGAGAGGGUGGCCCCCCACAAUGGAACUGAAACACGGUCCAUACACCUACGGGUGGCAGCAGUAGGGAAUAUUGCAAAAUGGGCGCAAGCCCGAUGCAGCAACGCCGCGUGGGCGAUGAAGGCCUUCGGGUCGUAAAGCCCUUUUUGAGGGGAUGAGGAAGGACAGUACCCUCAGAAUAAGCCUCGGCUAACUACGUG